CUUUCUAUAAAUCUAUCCUAUGUAAAAAUUAAAAUUGAAUUGAAUUUGUAGUGAGUUUUUGAUUAGAAAGAGGUUCACUGCAUUAGCAGUUUUGUGUACCCAUGUUUGGAAAGGCAUUUCUUAGUGCCUAGUGACAAUUUAAUACUGGAAAUUUAGGGGUACAAGCACCUUGGAGUUGAGGUUGUAGUGGUGUAAAAUUCAAUGCAAUUGAAUCAGAAUUGAAUUUGUGGCGAUGUUUGGAGUGGAGAGAAGUUGCUGCCUUAAGUGGAAUACAAUUGAGGUGAGUAAUUUCUAAUUCUUCAAUCAUUUAUAUUUUUGAUUUUAUGUUAGAUUUUUUAAUUUUGUAUUUAAAAGUUUUUAUUUCUUAAUAAUAUUAAAUUAUAGUAAAAAUAAAAAGAAAAAGAAAAAGAAAAAGAAAAAAUAUAUAUAUAUUAAUAUAUAUAUAUAUAUAUUAAUAUUAAAUUAAAUUAAAUAUAAAAUAAUAAUAAUAAGAAUUAAAAAAUAUUAAUAAUAAUCAUAAUAAAAAUAUUGAAUUAAAUUAAUUAUUAAAUUAAUUAUUAAAUUAAUAAAAAAUAAAUUUAAUUAGUAAUUUUAAUAUAUUUUUGACUUUUAUUUUGACUUUUAUUUUGACUUUUAUUUUAUUUUAUUUUUCUUUUAUUUUAUUUUAAUUUUUUCAUGUAUGAUAAGUUUUUGUAUUGAAGUAAGUUUAAUAUAUUUUUUUAUUUAUUCAUGGAUUGAGUGUUAUGCAUAUUGUUAUUUUUAACCUUAAAUAAUAGUUGAAUAUUUUACUGUUAGUAUGCGCAUUACUUGGUGGUUUUUUUAAGUUAGUUGUCACUUUCAAAAGCAUAAAGAGUAGAGCUCGUCUUCGAGGUUUCAUCACUCCCUCUCCUUUUAAUUUUUCUAGUAGAGAGCCCAUCUCCAGUAAGUAGAGGGAUUUAAUCACCCUCUCCACCCCUCGUAUCUUCUCUUUUCAUCUAUUUGUAAAUUCCUUGUUGGCAGUAAUUUUCUAUAGGAAGAGAGAUUUAAUCACCCUCUCCAACCGCUAUAUCCCUUUUAUUCACAGGAAUAGUAUAGAAGAAGCUUAAGAAGAAUUUAAGUGAAUGCUUCAUCAACAAAAGAAGAAGAACAAAUUCAAGAAGAAGAAAUAGGUAGAAAAGUUAGAUAGAAGGAAUUGAAAAAAAAAAAAAUGAAAAGAAGAAAAGAAGAAAAAACAAGAUCAACAAGUUCAAAUCAUAAUCUAAGGUGAAUAUUUUCUUAAAUAAAUUUAUUGAGUUUUAUUUUAUUUUGCUAAUACAAAUUGUGAUUUGAAGAGAAGGACGACAAAAGAAAGAAGGAAAGCAUUAAUAGCUUGCAAACAAGUAAGUCCUUAACCUUGCCAAUUAUUUUUUUUUUGAAAUUUUAGAAAAUUGCUUGAAUACAAG
rnacentral:lncRNA from 1 species